rnacentral:lncRNA from 1 species
UGAUCCUCCUGCCUCAGCCUCCUAAGAAGAUGAGAAAACUGAGAUCCAGAAAUUCAAGAUCAAUAACCAAUAAUUGAAAAGGAAGUAAGACAGCCUGCCUUUGGAAUAUUGUGCCACUUUACCAAUAAUUUACUCUAAUUAAAAUGAAACAAAAAUGUGUGCAUGUUAUUGGAUGUAUGGAAAGAUGCAUCAAACUAAAUGACCUCAAGGGAGAGGUGUGGCUUCCGUGAGGAAGAUGACAAGACUCCUUCUUGGUUCAACUCUACCAACUGUCUAUAGCAUUUCACAGUGUUGUGGAUGAUUAUGCUGUCUAGGGAACUGAGUAGUUACUGCACUUUCAAAAACAUCAUCUCACAGUCCUGAGUGAUCUAUCCACACAUCCAUCUUCAAGCUUCCCAAAGGCAGGAAUCACCUAUUGUUCGUCUGUAAACUCCAAUGAGAAACAUACAGUCUGGUGUAUGGGAGGUCAUCAAAACAAGUGUGGAGGUAUAAGCUAAGACUGACAACUGCCUCCCAAGUUUCUAUUCAAAAGUAAUCAUUUUGGAUGUAAAUCUCAUCAGGAAUGUGUUUAAACUCAGGAACUGCUGAAUUGUACUGUAACUUGGCUCAUCCCAAAUAGUGCAGUUGUCUUCACAAUGGAGAGACUGUCACAGCCUAAAAAGACACGUGACUCUGAGCAUCAGUUUACUGGCUGCCCACUCAAUGAUUCAGACUCCUCCAUUCUUUGUGUGGAAGAGAACUGGCCUUCCGGGAGCCUGAGGCCAAGUGAGAGAACCUUCUGAAAGCCGUCACUGCAUGGGGAGCCUGGACUUACCC